rnacentral:rRNA from 1 species
UGAGGAAUAUUGGUCAAUGGGCGAAAGCCUGAACCAGCCAAGUCGCGUGAGGGAAGACGGUCCUAUGGAUUGUAAACCUCUUUUGCAGGGGAGCAAUGCCCGGUACGUGUACCGGGAGGGAGAGUACCCUGAGAAAAACGCAUCGGCUAACUCCGUGCCAGCAGCCGCGGUAAUACGGAGAAUGCGAGCGUUAUCCGGAUUUAUUGGGUUUAAAGGGUGCGUAGGCGGACUUGUAAGUCAGCGGUAAAAAUGCGGUGCUCAACGCCGUAGUGCCGUUGAAACUGCAGGUCUUGAGUGAGCGAGAAGUAUGCGGAAUGCGUGGUGUAGCGGUGAAAUGCAUAGAUAUCACGCAGAACUCCGAUUGCGAAGGCAGCAUACCGGCGCUCAACUGACGCUGAGGCACGAAAGCGUGGGGAUCGAACAGGAUUAGAUACC